AUUUCCCCCAAAUAUUUUUUGUCUCACUCCUUUUCAGCUGACCCUUUCUUCUCUCAUCUCCCCCUUCACCCGCAAACCAUGAAGGAAGAAGCUCAAAGGUUUGGUUCUAAGCAACAUCACCACGAAAAUCGGGAAUCGGAGGCACUCUUCAUCCUCUCUUCUACUGAACUACUAUAGAAGAAUUUGUGCUUUGCAUUUUGAGUGGGUCGAGUUUAUGACGAGAAGAUGGGGUUUUGGUGAUGCAGGGGUUUCUGGGUUGUUGGCUUAACCUUGAGGUGGAGGUGUGUUCAGAAAGGCAGGAGAGCUGUUGUUUGUGGUGUGGCUUCAAACAUCCAAUUCCACAGUUAUUGUUCAUGCUUGCAAACAUAGAUUGCUUUUACGUUCAAGGUUUCACAUGCUACUGUUGUAAGAAAUUGGUCUGCAGGGUCUGAAGAGAAGGAGAAGGUUGAAUAUGUAAAUCAAGAUUAGGUCGCAUUUGAGGUGUUGUCAAUUGUGAAGCUGCUGCUGACAUUCCAAUCAUCUUUCUUAGAUAUGUCCAAUUACGACAUGGAUUUCCAGUUGGAUGAUGAUGCCUUACCAUCGAUGCAUGACAGCGUCCAAUUUGAUGAUAGUGAAACCCAAGAUGUUGGCCUUCUGUUUGUGCAUGAGCCAAUAGUUCGUACUAAAAACAGACUUGCGAUUGCAGCAGUCCAACCACAAUGCAAUAGACCUGCGAUUCCAACCGCACCUAUCAAGGAUGUCUAUCGACCCGAAAUGCCUCAAACUGUGCCACAAUCGCAGCUGAACUGAAAGGGGUAGUUUCACCUACCAUUAUCUAGUUUGAUGGUUAUGUUUUUGCCUACUUUGAGUUAGUUCUCAAAGUAUUUUGUUGAAAAUUAUUCUUAGACAAGGAUUAUGUUGUUAAAGGGGGAAAAUCUUAGUGAUAUUCCACCUUAAACAACAAUGUAUUCUAGAAAACCUUCAUAUGAAAUGUACUUUGCUAGAAAUGUAAAGAACAUCUUGCUAUGAAUGUAAAGUUUUAAUAUUUUCGAUUCA